AUUGAACGCUGGCGGCAGGCCUAACACAUGCAAGUCGAGCGGAUGAAGGGAGCUUGCUCCUGGAUUCAGCGGCGGACGGGUGAGUAAUGCCUAGGAAUCUGCCUGGUAGUGGGGGAUAACGUCCGGAAACGGGCGCUAAUACCGCAUACGUCCUGAGGGAGAAAGUGGGGGAUCUUCCGACCUCACGCUCUCAGAUGAGCCUAGGUCGGAUUAGCUCGUUGGUGGGGUAAAGGCCUACCAAGGCGACGAUCCGUAACUGGUCUGAGAGGAUGAUCAGUCACACUGGAACUGAGACACGGUCCAGACUCCUACGGGAGGCAGCAGUGGGGAAUAUUGGACAAUGGGCGAAAGCCUGAUCCAGCCAUGCCGCGUGUGUGAAGAAGGUCUUCGGAUUGUAAAGCACUUUAAGUUGGGAGGAAGGGCAGUAAGUUAAUACCUUGCUGUUUUGACGUUACCAACAGAAUAAGCACCGGCUAACUUCGUG
rnacentral:rRNA from 1 species